UACGGAGGGUGCGAGCGUUAAUCGGAAUUACUGGGCGUAAAGCGCGCGUAGGCGGCUAAGUAAGUCGGAUGUGAAAGCCCUGGGCUCAACCUGGGAAUUGCACUCGAUACUGCUUGGCUAGAGUAUGGUAGAGGGUAGUGGAAUUCCUGGUGUAGCGGUGAAAUGCGUAGAUAUCAGGAGGAACAUCAGUGGCGAAGGCGGCUACCUGGACCAAUACUGACGCUGAGGUGCGAAAGCGUGGGGAGCAAACAGGAUUAGAAACCCGAGUAGUCC
rnacentral:rRNA from 1 species